UAUGAAUGGGGGUUCUAGUUUUAAAUAAUCUUUUUUCUAAAAUUAUAUUUUUGUUGAAAAUAACAAAAUGUUCCUUAAGACGAAAAGACCCUAGAAUUUUAAUUAAUUUUUUUUUUAAUUUAAUUGGGGAAAUGAAAGAAAAAUAAAUAACUUGAAUUUUAUUUUUUAUUGAACUUUUAUUAAAGAAGAUGGAAAAUACUCUAGGG
rnacentral:rRNA from 1 species